UGAAUGGGAUUGGAAUUGCGGUCAACUUUUUACCCAUUUCCAGCGAGCAGUCAGUGUUGCGCCGCGCUGCCGUCCACGUCGCGUUCCCGGUGUCGCUUCGUCCGAGUUGCAUGCGUUCGGCUUUCUCCGCUCGCUCGGGUGUGUUCGUGUGUUCUCUGUGACUUGCGCCCCUUUCGUACCUUUCGUCAGGUGUUUACAGCCCGCUCGGAUAUAUUCGCCGUGUGCCGAAAUGUGAUGCCCAUGUGGAUUAAUUAUGUGUGCGUAAGAUGAUCAGGAAAAGCGAUGCGGGCUGACACGGCCUCGUGGCUGGCGGCCGGCGUGGCAGGGCCGCUGGUCGGCGUCUGGCUCGGCUGGGCCGCGCUGAUCGUCUACUCGCACCGCGCGCAAUGGCGGCUCCUGGACCCGCUCCUGCUGGCCCUCCUCCUCCUGGCGCUCGCCCGGCAACUCGCCGCCGCCGCCCUCACGGCCGUCCACCUCCUCCGGCCCUCGGACGACUGGUGCUCCGCGCUCGCCUUCCUCCUAGCCGCCGCCGACGCCAUGCAGGCUGCCACCCUCGCCACCCUCGUCUUCUCCAAGUUCCUCCACCUCCGCCUCCCCCGCGACAAGUUCCGAAAGACCCUCUCCAAGUCCCACCUCAUCUACCACCUCGCCUGCCUCGUCCUCAUCAGCUCCUGCAUUGGAGUCGCCGCAGUCAUCGGCAAGACUGACCAUUGUGUCUACUAUUCUGACAAGAGGUACAUCUCCUUCUGGCUGACGCUCCACAGUACACUGAUCGUGCUCUCCUUCUGCGUGCUGAUCUACAGCAGCUGCCUCCGCGGGAGCGUGGGCACCUCCGUCUCCAACACCUACUACCAAAACCAACGGCGCCUCCUGCUCAACUCAUCCUCCGACCUCUCGUGCGCCUUGUCGGACAUCUCGAUGCUCUCAUCCAAGUCGCGGAACCGCGGCGUCAACUACUCUGUGAGCAACUGCUCCUCCAACUUGAACCGGCGGCACUGCCUCGUGGAGGAGCUCCUGCGGAAUCAGGUCUACGUGAACGGGGACUGCAAGUUCGUCUACAACACCCAGCUGAGCUGCGGCUCGGGGUCCGUGUUGAACGACAAGUUGAGCGCGUCCCAGCAGAUGCUCACCGAGGAGCUGAGGGUCCCGGAGGAAGCGAGGUUGAUGGAGGACUCGGCGAGCUGCGCUGCGCUCCAUGACUGCCAUCUCUCGACGACGACCACCUCCCCCUCGUCGACCAACAGUCGGGCGCCGGUCCUAGCGGCCAAACAUCGACGGCCUGACCUGGAGGUCCAACUCAUCACCGUCGCGGCUGUCUCAGUUCUCUGCUUCUUCACCAGUCAUCUUCCUGUCAUGGCGGUAGCGUUCAUGGAGGUGAUCUUGCAGCAGUCGUUGGGACUACCUUGGUCAUCGGAGAACUUUCCGAUCUGGGCGUCCCUUGUCGAGGGCUGUCUUCUCCCGGUCGUUCUUCUCAUAUUCGACGACCAAUUCCCGGCCCGCAUCGCUCACAUCUACAAGCGACGCUCUCCAGCCGAUGUCGCCGGAAAACCACCCCAAGGGCUGUACGGAAAGUUCAGGCCAUUCAAUAACAGUUCAAUGAUGGAGUCGAGGCGGACGACGAUGGAGCCAGUGAGAUUCCCAAUCACGAACGGGUCUUUGUUCACAAGUUUGGACGGCCGCAUACCUAUUGUCCACAACUACAGACGAGGAAAGUGCAUCACGAGAAGUACGAGCGGUAUGCUGAGCAACAAGUUCUCCGGGAUCAGUGAACACGGUGGCUCACUGCUCAUCUCGAACAUGGUGUCGGUGGGGAGCUCGAUGGAACGGAAGCCGCCCCUCGCCGUCGACCCCGGCGAGAAGCCCGAGCAGGACGGGCACCCUCACUCGCACCAGCCCACGCCCGAGCGAGGCGCCCACUCGCCCGAGGGCGCCUGCGGAGGCGCCGAUCGGGACCGGGACGCCCUCCCACAAACAGUCAAGCAACUCCGCGAGAAGCUCUUCCUCAAGGACCACAAGGACUUCUACGAUUCCUCCGACGAGGAGCCCGUAUACGCGACGCUCUCUUCGCAGAGCAUCUGCUCAGCAACGACAGCAGCAAACGACGACUUCGAGUUCUUCCAGCACGACUCGAAGGAGGUGGAGCGAGCCAGCGGCGCGAGCAUAGCGUCGGAGCCGCCGUUCAGCGCCCCGGAGCCGCCGGCCGCCGUCGCCGAGGAGUCGAGGGAUGCGCGGAGUGUAAAUAGUGAUAGUCAUAGUCGUAGGAGUAAGGAGCGCGAGCGAGGGCGGGAGAGCCCGGCGGCCGGGCGACACCGGAAGGCGGCGGCCGCCCGGAGGACGGCCGAGCCGCGCUGGAGGGGCCACGCCCUGAGGGACUCGCAGCGGCACCGCCGGAGCAGGAGCCGGGAGGCCGCCCGCCGCCAGAAGAGCCGCCGCUCGCCCAUCGUCAAGCGGCGCCCCGUCACCGCCGCCCACUGGAGGCCGGCCAGCUCCAGGCCCGAGCACCCCGGAUACAACCACCAGGUGAGCUAUCACCCCUGGUAAAACUGAUCACCUAAAAAAAAGGUGGCAUCGCCAAAAAAUAUUGGUGACAUCGCCUAAAAGGUAGGUGACACCACCCAGAAGGUAGGUGAUGUCACCUAGAAGGUAGGUGGCAUCGCCGAGACGGUAGGUGACAUCACCUAGAAGGUAUAGGUGACGUCACCUAGAAGGUAGGUGACGUCACCUAGAAGGUAGGUGACAUCGCCUGGAAGGUAGGUGACAUCACCUGGAAGCUAGGUGACAUCACACAGGUCGUAUACUACGCACUCGGUUAGCAGGGUUAAGUGAAAGGAAAGCAAGUGAUAUGGACUUAGAGAGGAUAGAAAUGUUAAUGUUCUCUUACUCCAUAAAAAAUAUUCUCUACUCACAAACUAAAAGCUAAUUGUUGACAUUGGUAGACAUAGCUAUUGACGAAGGAGACAAAAGGAAUAUAGAAGGAUCCCAUUGGUGCAAGCGGCUAGUUGCGAUGGAUAAAGAACGCAGGUGAUAAACUAACUAACGGCAACCCACGAGAAACUCAAUGUUUAAGUAGUCCAUCAUUUGCCCCCUCAGUGUAAGAACCACUCAUUUCAACCAAUAGGAUCGCCCCAUACUUCCUAUGUUCUCUUUGUCUAUCGCUUUGUCUAUCAGUUUCAACAAUCAGCCAGCUGGAGUCUGCAAAGAGACUCAUCGAUCAUCCCGACUUAGGUCCCUGCCCAUUAAGGGUUGGAAAAGGCAACAAUAAGCUUUUUCGAAGCCUCUAGUUUGCAAGAGAAAAGAGCCUAAUUGUUAAAUUUAAAAAAAAAAACAAACAAAUUAAGUGAAACAGAAUACUGUUAGGGGCCCAUUCGAGAUGAUUCAUAGAAAAUCAGUUGAAUAAACCCAGGAUGCCUAGGUGAAACACUCGACUUGCAAUUUAUGAGGGAUGAUCUUAUCGAAGUCGAGGGCGUAAUGAAGGUCACUUUCGUCACGGUGCGAGUCCACCUUUAUACCAAGUCAAAUCCUCAAUAGACUCCUGUCUGCAUUUGUUCCAAUCGCCAAUUCCGGUUAAAUCCACGAUAAAACGAAGCACUAUGAAAAAGAAGUUCCCCCGUCCACAUUUUCUACUCCUGCGUUAAAGUCUUCGAGUCAGCAGAAGAGAGACGAUGGUCCUUCAUUUCGUAAAUAUGUAAUUUUAUUUACAUAGAAGUUGAACUAAAGCUAACCCUAUCCAUUAGAAAUAGUGGAUGGGAGGGGGUUCAAAAAAUUCCGCCUCGCACUUUCUCAAAUUCCUUGACUUCUCCCUUCUCCCGCAUCAAGUACCGUUUCGCCCUUUCGCCAGGCAGUCCUAAGCCAUCUCUUAGUAUCUCAAAGUCUGGUGCGCAGGCUACUCGAUUGAAAAGGAGCCCUCUAACCCAGAAAUUUUUGAUUUCAGAGGCCAAGCCAGGAGCCCUGCCGGAUGAAGUCGACGUCCUUAAGCGUCCUCAACGAGCACGACCGAACCCUGUCCAGCGAGGAGGGCGCCCGCUCCAGCCCGCACCCCCAAGCCCACCCUCACGCCCACCCGCACUCCAAGCCGGCCUACCACCGCUACCACCCGGGUGGGCGCCGCGUCCGGAUGCGUCACGGACACAGCCACGGCCACCACCCUCGCGAGUUCCCUCCCACCCCGCCCACGCCACGCCGCCUCGCGCCCAUCCUGUCCGUCGACUCCCUCGUGUCGGCGCUCAACGACACCGGCGUGUCUUACCUGGACAACGGCGAGGUCUUCAUCCACCCUAAUAGCAGCAGCGUGCCGGACCUCAAGAAGAUCUUCAUCACGGAUUUCCUGUAGAGAAGCCCCAUCACUGAAGUGAUGUCAAUCAUUGUCUGUCCAGAGGGCUGAUUUUUGAAGUUGAUAGACAAAGCAAUAGACAAAGAAGACAUACUGAAAUAAGCGAUCCUAUUAUUGGUGAAAGUGUGUGGUUGCAAUGGACAAAAGAGUUAAGAGUAUUAGAUUAACUAACGGCAACUCACGAGAGACUCUAUCGUUGGUCCAUCAUUGUCCAUCUUGGUCCAUAACAUCCACCCGUUUCAACCAAUAGGAUUUCUCCAUGUUCCCUAUGCCUUCUCUAUCUAUAGCUUUGUCUAUCAAUUCAAUGAUCAACCCGCAGGGCUAGAGACAAGUCGACUGAAUCCUCCAAGGGAGAAACAAUUUCAGAUGACUGAAACUGUAUUCAGAAAAAACCUCUCGGACACUUUUGAGUCAAGUUCAGCUGAAAGUACGAGUAUCGUGCCAAGAUUAGGUGGUACAGGUGUUUCUCUGAAUGCAACCCUCGUUGCAAUGAAUGUUGAGUAGCUUUUUCAAGAUAAAUUUCAAAAAUGCUGAUAAUUUGUCCGUAAUUUUUAACUGCCUUUUAUAGAGACUUUGUCAUUUAAGAGCAAUAAUUGUUUAUAGUCACUGCUGUGAGAGUAGUGUGAUAUGAAUUAAAGUGGAACUGUCACAAUAUUUAACGAUGAGAAGACGAGUUUCAUCGUAGCUCUCUUCUGCGACGAUUUUUUCCCCCGCUCUGUUAAAUUUUUUUGCCGCCAUGAAGGACCAAGGGAGAUUUUUAUUCUGAAAAGUUUGUGUAAACACAACUGAACAUCAUUUAUUACUUAGUGGUGGAGGCAUUCACUUCUACCUCGAGGGCAACUUUUAGCAAAGCUCAUACUAAUAUUUGCAUCCCCGGUUGGCUUAGUACUAUCCAAUUGGAGGGAGUUUAAUGUCUAUGUCAUAAGUUUCAUUAAAUUACAGUAGUUUGUAUGACAGUGAAGAAUCAUCUUGAUAAAGCAUCUAUAUUUAUAGAGUCAUUUAACGUACCUGAGUACUUCUGAGUAAAGUUUAAGAGAUUAACCUUUUUUGUGCAACGACUGAAGAGCUAACCAGCACGCCUAACAUAUUAAACAGAUGAUGUUUAAAGGAAUUUGCUUGGGUUAUGCUGUUUUAGAUGAUGGUGGUUAUGGGACGUAGUUGCAAAAAGCAAGGGAGAUUCUAAUAAAUGAGAAAUCACAAAUUUUUUUAUUAAAUAAAAUUUUGGAAGGAAAUAUAGGUACUUCAUUUAUUUAUUUAUGUAAUGAAAAGUAUUAUUUUUGUCUCAGUUUGAGUACACAGGCUAAGAAUAAAAAACGAAAACAAACACUUUUCAAAUCUUAUUGUCAUAGUGUUAAUUGCUAAAAUAUUUUUUCAUCAAAUACCAAAUAAUUCCUUUGGUUGUGAUAAAGAAAAACUCGUGUAAAGCUUCUUGUGUGUGUAAAAUGCAUAAUUAUCGUGGAUAUGAAAUCUGUGUUAGUCUUUUAAAAAAUACACAUUUUCCUUAUAAGCCUGAAGCAAAAGUUCUUGCAAGGUAUGAUUUAGAAAGUACUUUCUUAAAGAAUUUAAUUGGAAGGAUUUUCUUGAAGGAAAAAAGUUAACAGUUAUAUUAUCUACACCGAUAGAUGCUGGGGAAAAAGUUCAUCACCCUUGUGAAUUAUGUCACCCAGUAAAUAGGCGUGUGCCUAUAUAUAGAAAUAGAAAAAGAAUCUAUUCUCAGGAGAGAAAAAUUUAUAUUUCUCAUCUAAGCUUUAAGUUUGGGUCAAAAUUAAACUUCGUCUCAACUCGCCAAAUAAUUCAUCUAGUCUUUUGAGAAUCGUCUCUAAGAAGUCCUUGCUGAGCUAAAUGCUCGCAAAAAGAGGUCACUUUUUUGUUUAUUGUAGAAAAGCUCAUGAAAAGUCUCGCCAUUUCCCCCCUUUUUUUAAGAAAAGCCUUAAAAAGCGUAGACUGAAUUUACAAGAUGAACACUUAUAUGUAAAACUCCUUCUGAAUUCAUUCAUUAUCUUACUCUGAUAAAUGCACCGACGAAAAGUAAAACAUUACAACAAAACAUCACUUUUUUGUAGCAUUUCACCUCUCUACAAUCUCGUUAGUCGUCACAUAUGUAAGAGGCGAUUCAAUCCACAUACUAAAUGACUUUUAAAGGACUAUGUUAGCCCUUAAUAUUUUGUUUGUACAGUUAACGUAGGCUCGUGUAAUUAAUUAUUAUCAAACUACUUAAAGUAAGUUAAGAUUAAGACUGUAUUCUUUGAAAGCCAAAAUAUACUAUACUUAAAAACAAU
rnacentral:lncRNA from 1 species